CGAACGAUGAAGCCCAGCUUGCUGGGGUGGAUUAGUGGCGAACGGGUGAGUAACACGUGAGUAACCUGCCCUUGACUCUGGGAUAAGCGUUGGAAACGACGUCUAAUACCGGAUACGAGCUUCCACCGCAUGGUGAGUUGCUGGAAAGAAUUUUGGUCAAGGAUGGACUCGCGGCCUAUCAGCUUGUUGGUGAGGUAAUGGCUCACCAAGGCGACGACGGGUAGCCGGCCUGAGAGGGUGACCGGCCACACUGGGACUGAGACACGGCCCAGACUCCUACGGGAGGCAGCAGUGGGGAAUAUUGCACAAUGGGCGAAAGCCUGAUGCAGCAACGCCGCGUGAGGGACGACGGCCUUCGGGUUGUAAACCUCUUUUAGCAGGGAAGAAGCGAAAGUGACGGUACCUGCAGAAAAAGCACCGGCUAACUACGUGCCAGCAGCCGCGGUAAUACGUAGGGUGCAAGCGUUGUCCGGAAUUAUUGGGCGUAAAGAGCUCGUAGGCGGUUUGUCGCGUCUGCUGUGAAAUCCCGAGGCUCAACCUCGGGUCUGCAGUGGGUACGGGCAGACUAGAGUGCGGUAGGGGAGAUUGGAAUUCCUGGUGUAGCGGUGGAAUGCGCAGAUAUCAGGAGGAACACCGAUGGCGAAGGCAGAUCUCUGGGCCGCUACUGACGCUGAGGAGCGAAAGGGUGGGGAGCAAACAGGCUUAGAUACCCUGGUAGUCCACCCCGUAAACGUUGGGCGCUAGAUGUGGGGACCAUUCCACGGUUUCCGUGUCGUAGCUAACGCAUUAAGCGCCCCGCCUGGGGAGUACGGCCGCAAGGCUAAAACUCAAAGGAAUUGACGGGGGCCCGCACAAGCGGCGGAGCAUGCGGAUUAAUUCGAUGCAACGCGAAGAACCUUACCAAGGCUUGACAUAUACGAGAACGGGCCAGAAAUGGUCAACUCUUUGGACACUCGUAAACAGGUGGUGCAUGGUUGUCGUCAGCUCGUGUCGUGAGAUGUUGGGUUAAGUCCCGCAACGAGCGCAACCCUCGUUCUAUGUUGCCAGCACGUAAUGGUGGGAACUCAUGGGAUACUGCCGGGGUCAACUCGGAGGAAGGUGGGGACGACGUCAAAUCAUCAUGCCCCUUAUGUCUUGGGCUUCACGCAUGCUACAAUGGCCAGUACAAAGGGCUGCAAUACCGUAAGGUGGAGCGAAUCCCAAAAAGCUGGUCCCAGUUCGGAUUGAGGUCUGCAACUCGACCUCAUGAAGUCGGAGUCGCUAGUAAUCGCAGAUCAGCAACGCUGCGGUGAAUACGUUCCCGGGCCUUGUACACACCGCCCGUCAAGUCAUGAAAGUCGGUAACACCCGAAGCCAGUGGCCUAACCGCAAGGAUGGA
rnacentral:rRNA from 1 species